rnacentral:lncRNA from 1 species
GGUACUGAUGAAUUUGGUGACUGCACAGUUCUGUUUGAAGGGGGUUUUGGGUGGUUCUGUUCUGCAGUGCCAUCAUCCUUUCUUGCAACAGUAUCCAGUGUGAUGUUUCCUGAACAAUCAAUAUCAGGAAGAGAGGGUAGAUUGUAGGAACUACCCACUGGAGAACUCAAAUCUAUCACAGGAGGACCGUAUGUCUUCCCAUCACA